GUAAUACUGCCCCCGUCCAGAAUUACUUGUCGCACAAAUGGGUAAAAAUGGAUAUAUCUAGAACUAAAAUAUUUCUACAUACAUCCAUUUCUCCGACAAGUAUUUCCGGACGGAGAGAGCAGUAAUUA
rfam:Triticum aestivum genome assembly, contig: Triticum_aestivum_CS42_TGACv1_scaffold_062121_1DL